UCCCUUGUAUGGUUCAGAUAACCUGCCACUUUUGAGCAUUUCAUCCUGGUUUUGGAUAAGCAAUUUAACUCGUUCAAUAGGAGCAGCAGCUGUCUUCGACACAGCAGCAGAAACUCCUCCCAUCAGAAAAUCGAUCAAAAAUCCAGCUGGUCCUUUCUCUGCUGGAGAAGGCACCGUAAAGGACGACAGAGGUGAUGCAAGUGCCAAACCAGAAGUCUGCACUCCUCCAUUGGUGAAAGUACCGGAUGUAGAGUAAUUCCUGUAGUUAGAGUUGGAGCUAAGCCUAGACACCAAAUAAGAAUAUCCACCUAACUUCUGCGCAAUUGAUGGAUGAUUUGGUC
rnacentral:lncRNA from 1 species